rnacentral:lncRNA from 1 species
AUGAUGAGAAAGGAAAAAGCCCUGGAUGCCAGCCCUGAGCCUGCAACAAGACUCACAACUUCAGCCUGGGAGAGAUGCAGCAGCUGCUCUGGUCAGAGAUGGCUCCGGCUCCUCCAGGUUUCAAAUGUUUAUUCUGGAAGAAAAAAGGACGAAAGGAGACAGGAAAGUUUGCACAAACAAAUCUUGCCAUUUUUCAAAUGGAAGUUUUUGCUCUCCUUGGAGUUGUCACCAGCUGUUUGUACUCAAAUCCCCAAAAAUGAGGUGGAGAGAGAAGCAGGAUCCCUGACACGACUGCAGAGACUGUUCCUCAUGGUGCCUGCUGGCACCAGGAGCUUUUCAAUUGCUAUGUGUAUUUUUCCAGCAGGAAAAAAAAAUCUUUCCAAUGGGAUGAAAUCAGCCUCCGAGUUUAUAUUUUCCCUGUCUCUACAAUUGUCUUGGUGGCAGUUACGGGAAGGCAGUUUCUUGCCUGACAUUUCAAGCGCAUCUCUCUCCAUCACGAAAUGGAGAUGCAGAGUGCCGCAGGAGCACUUUGCUCCGUUCUGCAGCUGCAGCUUGAAGCCGCUGCACAAAGCCAGAGAAUCGCAUUUGAUGUGCAACUCCACAGCAUCCGGGCAGAGCAAAGGCCCGCGUGGUUUAUUCCCCUGCCCUGUAAUUGCUUUAUUGUCCAUUUGUUAUGAGCAUUGCCUGUGUUGGAAAAGGUCACAGGCCUAUUUCAUUGGAAGGUGAAUAAAUGGAAAACCAUCACUAAUUACUUUAUGCCAGUGAGCUGAAAACACCCAAAAAGAUUAUUUCUGUUCUCAUUGAAAU